rnacentral:rRNA from 1 species
GACGAACGCUGGCGGCGUGCUUAACACAUGCAAGUCGAACGGAAAGGCCCUGCUUUUGUGGGGUGCUCGAGUGGCGAACGGGUGAGUAACACGUGAGUAACCUGCCCUUGACUUUGGGAUAACUUCAGGAAACUGGGGCUAAUACCGGAUAGGAUCUCCUGCUGCAUGGUGGGGGUUGGAAAGUUUCGGCGGUUGGGGAUGGUCUCGCGGCUUAUCAGCUUGUUUGUUGGGUAGUGGCUUACCAAGGCUUUGACGGGUAGCCGGCCUGAGAGGGUGACCGGCAAAAUUGGGACGGAGAUACGGCCCAGAAUGCAACGGGAGGCAGCAGUGGGGAAUAUUGCACAAUGGGAGGAAGCCUGAUGCAGAAACGCAGCGUGCGGGAAGAAGGCCUUCGGGUUGUAAACAGAUUUGGCAUGUGACGAAGCGUGAGUGACGGUAAUGGGUAAAGAAGCACCGGCUAACUACGUG